AUGUUAUUUAUGUUUUAUUCAGCUUUGAACCCAUCAUUUAUUUCUGGCCUCCUAAACUCAAUUGAGCACCUCAAUGGGACUAACUUUCCUACAUGGAAGGAGCAGAUUUCCAUUAACCUUGGGGUCAUGGAUCUUGACUACGCAAUUAGGGAGAAGGCUCCAGUUCCCUUGUCCUCUGAUGAUGAAAACCUUGCUGAGAGAACUAAGGUUUAUGAGGCUAACAAGGAGAAGUGGGAGCGCUCCAAUCAAUUGUCCCUCAUGAUCAUGAAAAGCACAAUCACUCUUGGGAUUAGGGGAGCUAUCCCCGAUUCCGAAUGUGCUAAGACUUAUCUGGCAUCGGUGGAGGAACAGUUUAAAGGCUCCACAAAAUCUAUGCCAGUACACUGA
rnacentral:rRNA from 1 species